CCUACGGGUGGCUGCAGUGGGGAAUAUUGCACAAUGGGGGGAACCCUGAUGCAGCGACGCCGCGUGGGUGAGGAAGUACUUCGGUAUGUAAAGCCCUAUCAGCAGGGAAGAAAAUGACGGUACCUGACUAAGAAGCCCCGGCUAACUCCGUGCCAGCAGCCGCGGUAAUACGGAGGAUGCGAGCGUUAUCCGGCUUUAUUGGGUUUAAAGGGUGCGCAGGCGGUCUGUUAAGUCAGCGGUCAAAGCCCGGGGCUCAACCCCGGCCCGCCGUUGACACUGGCAGUCUCGAGUUGGAGAGAAGUAUGCGGAAUGCGCGGUGUAGCGGUGAAAUGCAUAGAUAUCGCGCAGAACUCCGAUUGCGAAGGCAGCAUGCCGGCUCCACACUGACGCUGAGGCACGAAAGCGUGGGUAUCGAACAGGAUUAGAUACCCCGGUAGUC
rnacentral:rRNA from 1 species